AAUUCCCAAGACCCAAAUGGCGCCCUCACUAUUCAUUAUCUUCCUCACCCAAAAUCUGUUCCCAAACUCGCCAAAUUUCAGGCGAGUGAGCCCAAACUCACUUCACGCACCACCCAUCUCACCACGUCACGAAAGAUUCUAACGGUUUCUAAUAAUUUUACCACCCCAUGUGCUGGACUCGUUGGAAUUUCUGAGGAAUAAAUUCCGAAAAAUGGGAGUCAUGGAUUGAUUUGAGGAUCAAUCCUCUCCUUCCAUCUGUCAGGAUUUGUUCUGAAAAAGAUUUUACAGUUUUUGUUUGUGUGAAGAAGGAAAUAGAAGCUUCAAUUUUUUUGAGUUUUAUAUAUAAGGUAAGUUUUUUGUUUAAGAGGGGAGAAAAGAUUUCGGGUAAAAAGUUCUAGGGUUCUUGAGCUCUUUUUGGGAUUGCUUCAAGCUUUUCGGCCUUUUUUCAGAAAAUACACAAAAAAGCAAAAAUAGUCUAGGUUCGAUUUCAUUCAAGUUUUACUUCAUUUCAAAAAAAAAUCAACAAAAAAUCACUAAAAACAGAAUUUGUUUUCAGCAUUUUUUCUUUCUCUUGAUUUCUGGUUCUCAAAAAUGCAGCUUGAUUAAAGUUUGAGUUGGAGUUUGCAUUUAAGUUCUAAAUCCCGAUGCCGUUUCAAAUUUCUGUCUGAGCUUCUGAUUUCUACUCGAUUCUGUUGUGGUUGUGUUGAUAUUAGCCAUUGGAUUUUGCUUGUAUUCAACGUUCGAGCAAAGUUAAUCGGAAGUGUUUACUGAUUCAGGUUCAUUUC
rnacentral:lncRNA from 1 species